rnacentral:rRNA from 1 species
ACUCGCCUACAUGAAGUCGGAAUCGCUAGUAAUCGCGGAUCAGCAUGCCGCGGUGAAUACGUUCCCGGGCCUUGUACACACCGCCCGUCACACCAUGAGAGUUUGUAACACCCAAAGCCGGUGGGGUAACCUUUUGGAGCCAGCCGUCUAAGGUGGGACAGAUGACUGGGGUGAAGUCGUAACAAGGUAAC